UACGUAGGGGGCAAGCGUUGUCCGGAUUUAUUGGGCGUAAAGAGCGUGUAGGCGGCCGUACAGGUCAGCUGUGAAAACUCGAGGCUCAACCUCGAGACGUCGGUUGAAACCGUACGGCUAGAGUCCAGAAGAGGAGAGGUGGAAUUCCCGGUGUAGCGGUGGAAAUGACGCAGAUAUCGGGAAGAACACCCGUGGCGAAGGCGGUUCUCUGGGACGGUACUGACGCUGAGACGCGAAAGCGUGGGGAGCGAAC
rnacentral:rRNA from 1 species